rnacentral:rRNA from 1 species
GUUUUUCGCUUGAAGAUGGGCCCAUGCGGGAUUAGCUAGUUGGUGAGGUAAUGGCUCACCAAGGCUACGAUCCCUAACUGGUCUUAGAGGAUGAUCAGUCACACUGGAACUGAGACACGGUCCAGACUCCUACGGGAGGCAGCAGUAGGGAAUAUUGCACAAUGGACGAAAGUCUGAUGCAGCGACGCCGCGUGAGUGAUGAAGGCCUUCGGGUCGUAAAGCUCUGUCGUAUGGGACUAACACAAUG